GAGUGAGGACCUUCCUUCUAUCUUUCUUGGAUCCCACUGGACCUGAAAGGUAGAAAAACAGCAAUGCCCAAACCCAGGCUUAACAGGGAACUGCCACAGCGGAACGAAAUUCAGCCACCAAAAAGGGAUAGCUCUUGGAGAAAUUUGUCACACGCCCCAUCUUCUCUUGAUCGACAGAGAAAAUGGACACGAUAUUUCUGUGAACUCACUGCCAGAGGAACCAGAAGACGUUUUCUCCAAGGAGAAGGGCGAGCGAAGUUAUUUACACUAUCCCAAGGGACUAUCAGGCAUGACUGCAUCAGAGCACACACUUGAAAAUGGAGAUGAUGAAGCUGCACAAGGAAUGCCACAGUGCAGAAAGGUGAAAGAAAUGUGGCCAAGUGAAGCACAAAGAGAGAGAGACAGCCUACGGGGUCGAAGCCGAGCCUGAAGGAAAGAGCUUCAGCAGUUUGCCAGUGAAGAAGCACGGGUACGCAGGGACUGACUGACCAAGGCGCUGCGGAUGCAGCCCUCAGCGGCACCUCGGGGAGGACCCAGGAGAGGAGAUCCCAAAAGAGCCUCGGGGAGACCUCCGCCGGCAGAUGUGCUGCCUUCCCCUCCCCACCCAACCUCUGGCUGAAAAACCAGCAUCCCCUGACGCAGAUAUGUCUCUUUUGCCACAUCUCUUCCAAAACACUCAUUAUCAAUAACUAUAACCCGCGAUGGCCUUAU